GCGUCGCCGCGCACUUCCUCUAGCGCACAGGUGCAGGUGUUGAGGCUGGAGUUACGCAGACGCGAUGGUACAACAAUUAGCGUGUUCAGUUGAUGUCUUGUAAAUUAUUAGUGUAUGAUAAAGUCGACAUAAUGUUAUUUCAGUUGUAUUAUAAUAAAAUUGUUCUUAUUACA